UACGGAGGGUGCGAGCGUUGUCCGGAAUCACUGGGCGUAAAGGGCGCGUAGGCGGCGCGGAUAGGCGGCGGUGAAAGCCCGGAGCUCAACUCCGGGUCGGCCGUCGAUACUUCCGGGCUUGAGCACUGUAGAGGCAGAUGGAAUUCCGGGUGUAGCGGUGGAAUGCGUAGAGAUCCGGAAGAACACCGGUGGCGAAGGCGGUCUGCUGGGCAGUUGCUGACGCUGAUGCGCGACAGCGUGGGGAGCAAACAGG
rnacentral:rRNA from 1 species